GACGAACCGUGCGAACGUUAUUCGGAAUCACUGGGCUUAAAGCGCGUGUAGGCGGCCCGGAGCAUCGUCGGCUGAAAUCCCCCGGCUCAACCGGGGAACGGGCCACGAGAUGUCCGGGCGUGGAGGGGGGUAGGGGGAGCCGGAACUCACGGUGGAGCGGUGAAAUGCGUUGAGAUCGUGAGGAACGCCCGUGGCGAAAGCGGGCUCCUGGACCCCGCCUGACGCUGA
rnacentral:rRNA from 1 species